rnacentral:rRNA from 1 species
AUGAUCCCAGCUUGCUGGGGGAUUAGUGGCGAACGGGUGAGUAACACGUGAGUAACCUGCCCUUGACUCUGGGAUAAGCCUGGGAAACUGGGUCUAAUACCGGAUACGACCAUCUGGCGCAUGUCAUGGUGGUGGAAAGCUUUUGUGGUUUUGGAUGGACUCGCGGCCUAUCAGCUUGUUGGUGGGGUAAUGGCCUACCAAGGCGACGACGGGUAGCCGGCCUGAGAGGGUGACCGGCCACACUGGGACUGAGACACGGCCCAGACUCCUACGGGAGGCAGCAGUGGGGAAUAUUGCACAAUGGGCGCAAGCCUGAUGCAGCGACGCCGCGUGAGGGAUGACGGCCUUCGGGUUGUAAACCUCUUUCAGUAGGGAAGAAGCGUAAGUGACGGUACCUGCAGAAGAAGCGCCGGCUAACUACGUGCCAGCAGCCGCGGUAAUACGUAGGGCGCAAGCGUUAUCCGGAAUUAUUGGGCGUAAAGAGCUCGUAGGCGGUUUGUCGCGUCUGCUGUGAAAGACCGGGGCUCAACUCCGGUUCUGCAGUGGGUACGGGCAGACUAGAGUGCAGUAGGGGAGACUGGAAUUCCUGGUGUAGCGGUGAAAUGCGCAGAUAUCAGGAGGAACACCGAUGGCGAAGGCAGGUCUCUGGGCUGUAACUGACGCUGAGGAGCGAAAGCAUGGGGAGCGAACAGGAUUAGAUACCCUGGUAGUCCAUGCCGUAAACGUUGGGCACUAGGUGUGGGGGACAUUCCACGUUUUCCGCGCCGUAGCUAACGCAUUAAGUGCCCCGCCUGGGGAGUACGGCCGCAAGGCUAAAACUCAAAGGAAUUGACGGGGGCCCGCACAAGCGGCGGAGCAUGCGGAUUAAUUCGAUGCAACGCGAAGAACCUUACCAAGGCUUGACAUGAACCGGAAAGACCUGGAAACAGGUGCCCCGCUUGCGGUCGGUUUACAGGUGGUGCAUGGUUGUCGUCAGCUCGUGUCGUGAGAUGUUGGGUUAAGUCCCGCAACGAGCGCAACCCUCGUUCUAUGUUGCCAGCGCGUAAUGCGGG